GUGGGGAAUUUUGGACAAUGGGCGAAAGCCUGAUCCAGCCAUGCCGCGUGCAGGAUGAAGGCCUUCGGGUUGUAAACUGCUUUUGUACGGAACGAAAAGACUCUGGUUAAUACCUGGGGUCCAUGACGGUACCGUAAGAAUAAGCACCGGCUAACUACGUGCCAGCAGCCGCGGUAAUACGUAGGGUGCAAGCGUUAUUCGGAAUUACUGGGCGUAAAGCGUGCGCAGGCGGUUUUGUAAGACAGUGGUGAAAUCCCCGGGCUCAACCUGGGAACUGCCAUUGUGACUGCAAGGCUAGAGUGCGGCAGAGGGGGAUGGAAUUCCGCGUGUAGCAGUGAAAUGCGUAGAUAUGCGGAGGAACACCGAUGGCGAAGGCAAUCCCCUGGGCCUGCACUGACGCUCAUGCACGAAAGCGUGGGGAGCAAACAGGAUUAGAAACCCUGGUAGUCC
rnacentral:rRNA from 1 species